GUGGGGAAUCUUCCGCAAUGGACGAAAGUCUGACGGAGCAACGCCGCGUGAGUGAAGAAGGUUUUCGGAUCGUAAAGCUCUUUCGUUAGGGACGAACGUGCUCUUUGUGAAUAAUGAGGAGUAAUGACGGUACCUAAAUAAGAAGCCACGGCUAACUACGUGCCAGCAGCCGCGGUAAUACGUAGGUGGCAAGCGUUGUCCGGCAUUAUUGGGCGUAAAGCGCGCGCAGGCGGGAUAUCAAGUCUGUCUUAAAAGUGCGAGGCUCAACCUCGUGAGGGGACAGAAACUGGUAUUCUUGAGUGUCGGAGAGGAAAGUGGAAUUCCAAGUGUAGCGGUGAAAUGCGUAGAGAUUUGGAAGAACACCAGUGGCGAAGGCGACUUUCUGGACGAUGUCUGACGCUGAGGCGCGAAAGCUAGGGGAGCGAACGGGAUUAGAUACCCUGGUAGUCC
rnacentral:rRNA from 1 species